UCUCACGGAUGAGCAAAGGAAGUGGUUUCUUAGGAAGGAAGCUACUCCUGGUGAAGAUGCUGUGAA
rnacentral:pre_miRNA from 1 species